UACGGGGGGGGCAAGCGUUGUUCGGAAUUACUGGGCGUAAAGGGCUCGUAGGCGGCCAACUAAGUCGGACGUGAAAUCCCCAGGCUCAACCUGGGAACUGCGUCCGAUACUGGAUGGCUUGAAUUCGGGAGAGGGAUGCAGAAUUCCAGGUGUAGCGGUGAAAUGCGUAGAUAUCUGGAGGAAUACCGGUGGCGAAGGCGGGCUACUGGGCUGAUACUGACGCUGAUGCGCGAAAGCCAGGGGAGCAAACGGG
rnacentral:rRNA from 1 species